GAUGAACGCUGGCGGUAUGCCUAACACACGCAAGUCGUACGGGAGUUUUUAACUCAAGUGGCGGACGGGUGAGUAACACGUGAGUAUUUACCUUUAGGAGGGGGAUAACAGUUGGAAACGGCUGCUAAUACCCCAUAUGCUUUAGAGUGAAAAAGAUUUAUCUGCCUAAAGAAAAGCUCGCGGCUGAUUAGCUAGUUGGUGAGGUAAUGGCUCACCAAGGCGACGAUCAGUAUCUGGUUUGAGAGGACGAUCAGACACACUGGAACUGAGACACGGUCCAGACUCCUACGGGAGGCAGCAGUGGGGAAUUUUCCGCAAUGGGCGAAAGCCUGACGGAGCAAUACCGCGUGAGGGAAGACUGCCUAUGGGUUGUAAACCUCUUUUUUCAGGGAGGAAUAAAUGACGUGUACCUGAAGAAUAAGCAUCGGCUAACUCCGUGCCAGCAGCCGCGGUAAGACGGAGGAUGCAAGUGUUAUCCGGAAUCACUGGGCGUAAAGCGUCUGUAGGUUGUUGUUUAAGUCAACUGUUAAAUCUUGAGGCUCAACCUCGAAAUCGCAGUCGAAACUAUUCAACUUGAGUAUAGUAGGGGUAAAGGGAAUUUCCAGUGGAGCGGUGAAAUGCGUAGAGAUUGGAAAGAACACCGAUGGCGAAGGCACUUUACUGGGCUAUUACUGACACUCAGAGACGAAAGCUAGGGUAGCAAAUGGGAUUAGAUACCCCAGUAGUCCUAGCCGUAAACAAUGGAUACUAGAUGUUGAACAGAUCGACCUGUGCAGUAUCAAAGCUAACGCGUUAAGUAU
rnacentral:rRNA from 1 species